GGUUCCUUAUGGAAGUUAAAAAUCGUAACAAGGUUUCCGUAGGUGAACCUGCGGAAGGAUCAUUACCGAGUGAGGGCCCUCUGGGUCCAACCUCCCACCCGUGUUUAUUUUACCUUGUUGCUUCGGCGGGCCCGCCUUAACUGGCCGCCGGGGGGCUUACGCCCCCGGGCCCGCGCCCGCCGAAGACACCCUCGAACUCUGUCUGAAGAUUGUAGUCUGAGUGAAAAUAUAAAUUAUUUAAAACUUUCAACAACGGAUCUCUUGGUUCCGGCAUCGAUGAAGAACGCAGCGAAAUGCGAUACGUAAUGUGAAUUGCAAAUUCAGUGAAUCAUCGAGUCUUUGAACGCACAUUGCGCCCCCUGGUAUUCCGGGGGGCAUGCCUGUCCGAGCGUCAUUUCUGCCCUCAAGCACGGCUUGUGUGUUGGGCCCCGUCCUCCGAUCCCGGGGGACGGGCCCGAAAGGCAGCGGCGGCACCGCGUCCGGUCCUCGAGCGUAUGGGGCUUUGUCACCCGCUCUGUAGGCCCGGCCGGCGCUUGCCGAUCAACCCAAAUUUUUAUCCAGGUUGACCUCGGAUCAGGUAGGGAUACCCGCUGAACUUAAGCAUAUCAAUAAGCGGAGGAAAAGAAACCAACAGGGAUUGCCCCAGUAACGGCGAGUGAAGCGGCAAGAGCUCAAAUUUGAAAGCUGGCUCCUUCGGGGUCCGCAUUGUAAUUUGUAGAGGAUGCUUCGGGAGCGGUCCCCAUCUAAGUGCCCUGGAACGGGACGUCAUAGAGGGUGAGAAUCCCGUAUGGGAUGGGGUGUCCGCGCCCGUGUGAAGCUCCUUCGACGAGUCGAGUUGUUUGGGAAUGCAGCUCUAAAUGGGUGGUAAAUUUCAUCUAAAGCUAAAUAUUGGCCGGAGACCGAUAGCGCACAAGUAGAGUGAUCGAAAGAUGAAAAGCACUUUGAAAAGAGAGUUAAAAAGCACGUGAAAUUGUUGAAAGGGAAGCGCUUGCGACCAGACUCGCUCGCGGGGUUCAGCCGGCAUUCGUGCCGGUGUACUUCCCCGCGGGCGGGCCAGCGUCGGUUUGGGCGGUCGGUCAAAGGCCCUCCGAAGGUAACGCCCCUAGGGGCGUCUUAUAGCCGAGGGUGCAAUGCGACCUGCCUAGACCGAGGAACGCGCUUCGGCUCGGACGCUGGCAUAAUGGUCGUAAACGACCCGUCUUGAAACCCGGACCAAGGAGUCUAACAUCUACCCCAAGUGUUCGGGUGGCAAACCCCUGGCCCCA
rnacentral:sRNA from 1 species